ACAGUCGUGGCCGAGUGGCUAAGGUGAUGGACUAGAAAUCCAUUGCGGUCUCCCUACACAGCUUCAAAUCCUGUCGACUGCG
rnacentral:tRNA from 1 species